rnacentral:rRNA from 1 species
UAGUCAUAUGCUUGUCUCAAAGAUUAAGCCAUGCAUGUCUAAGUUUAAGCAAUCUAAACAGUGAAACUGCGAAUGGCUCAUUAACUCAGUUAUAAUUUAUUUGAUAGUGCAACCUUUACUUGGAUACCCCGGGUAAAUCUCGAGCUAACACAUGCUAAAAUAGGCGAGGCCUCGGCUGAGCUUAGUGUUUAUUAGAUAAAAAAUCAAUGCUUCUCGGAGCUGUUUGAUGAUUCAUAAUAACCUUUCGAAUCGCAUGGCCUUGUGCCGGCGAUGGUUC